CCUACGGGAGGCAGCAGUAAGGAAUAUUGCGCAAUGGGCGACAGCCUGACGCAGCGACGCCGCGUGGGGGAUGAAGGUCUUCGGAUUGUAAACCCCUUUCGGCAGGGAAGAUGGAACGGGUAACCGUUCGGACGGUACCUGCAGAAGCAGCCACGGCUAACUUCGUGCCAGCAGCCGCGGUAAUACGAAGGUGGCAAGCGUUGUUCGGAUUUACUGGGCGUACAGGGAGCGUAGGCGGUURGGUAAGCCCUCCGUGAAAUCUCCGGGCCUAACCCGGAAAGGGCGGAGGGGACUGCUYGGCUAGAGGAUGGGAGAGGAGCGCGGAAUUCCCGGUGUAGCGGUGAAAUGCGUAGAGAUCGGGAGGAAGGCCGGUGGCGAAGGCGGCGCUCUGGAACAUUUCUGACGSUGAGGCUMGAAAGCGUGGGGAGCAAACAGGAUUAGAUACCCUGGUAGUCCACGCCUUAAACGAUGAAUACUAAGUGUCGGCGGGUUACCGCCGGUGCCGCAGCUAA
rnacentral:rRNA from 1 species